GAUGAACGCUGGCGGCGUGCCUAACACAUGCAAGUCGAACGGAAAGGCCAUGCUUUUGUGGGGCGCUCGAGUGGCGAACGGGUGAGUAACACGCGUGUAAACUGCCCUUGACUUUGGGAUAACUUCAGGAAACUGGGGCUAAUACAGGAUAGGAGAUCCUGAUGCACGGUGGGGGAUGGUAAGAUUCGGUGGUUCGGGCUGGACUAGCGGCUUAUCCGCUUGAUGGUGGGGUAGUGGCUUACCAAGGCUACGAAGGGUAGCCGGCCUGAGAGGGUGACCGGCCACAUUGGGACUGAGAUACGGCCCAGACGCCUACGGGAGGCAGAAGUGGGGAAUAUUGCACAAUGGGCGGAAGCCUGAUGCAGCAACGCCGCGUGCGGGAUGACGUCCUUCGGGUUGUAAACCGCUUUCGCCGGUGACGAGGCGUGAGUGACGGUAAUGAGUAAAGAAGCACCGGCUAACUACGUG
rnacentral:rRNA from 1 species